UGGAACUUCCAGUUUACACGGCAAUGUUUCCUUUUUGAAACAUAUCUUCUUCUUACUGCUGCUGCAUGGGUACUUCCCAAUUUAAUGUAUGUAGUAGCUUUUGAAUUCACUUUAUUGGCCAAAAACACAAACCUUGAAGGAUGAAAUGCAUAAAACAGUUGAUAAUAAUUCCUAAUAAUAAUAAAGCCUAUACGCAUGAUUGGAACAAAGCACUGUUGCAUCAACAUAUGUGGGUAAAAAAAAAUCAGCAAAAGCUUCUAUUUUCUUCUUUAUUGGCAUUACUUUAUUAAAUAUUCAGCAAAGCAAUAAGUUUUUUCUCUCUCUGUACAUUGACUGUUUAGUGCAUUUUAAGCCUUUCUCUCCAGAUGCUCAUCUUCAUGGUGAAACAUCUCCGAACAUAUGAUACUUUUUAAGCCAAAAAUAAGAAUAUAUUAAAUAUAUAUAUUAAUCAUUGAUAUUAAUGAUAGAUAUGUGUACAGGUAAAUUGGCGCAAAUGAGUUCCGAAUAUUGGCGCAAUUGAUACAUUUAGAAAACAAAAUUUGGCGCAAAAGGACUGCUGUCGGAUUUCCAAUAUAUUGUACAAAAUAUGGGCGCAUUGCAUUUGCGCCGAUUUUUGAAAAUUACAAUCUUUCAUUUGCGCCAAAAAAAUAAAAACUUCAUUUGCGCCAUGUUACAGGUAAUUCAGGUAAACAAUAACGGAAGCGUUAAAUAUGCAUUGCUCUAAAAGGUUUGUCUCGACAGUAUUUCUCUGAAUAAUGGGUUGAGUUCAAUGCCACACUCAUUUCUGAAGCUGAGAGUCACUAAGGUUUAUAAAUAUAUAUAGUGGUCACAUGUUCGAGGUGUCAAGAUGGAAAUUUUCAAUUUAGACAUAAACACAGGAGAAUUAAGUGUGUAAUAUUUGAUGACCACACUUUUAGUUUAUUAUCAGAUCAUACGUUCUGAAAAAGGGAGACCAAGUCGUUUAUUGGUACCCCAAAAAAAGAAAACCUUGCAAAGCCAGUAUAACAACUGAAAUGGACCGCAGUUCAUGAUAAAACGGACUAUCUUUUUUUAUCGUUAUGGUAUGCACUUGAGAGGAGGAAUUUUCCAGACAUAAAUACAUCAGGGCCGUCGCUUACAAGGGUAGACGUAUAACUGUACAAUAGUGUAUCCUGCUUAGAAUAGUUCUAGUGUAAACUGUUUUCUUUCAUGUUUCAUAUUGGGUGUUAUGAUCACGCUUAUUUAUAACAGUCGUGAGAACUGUGUUUCAUUAAGGUUUUAACAUUUAAUGUCGACUGAUUUCUGACGAAUAUAUUUAAUUUUGCAAACACAAACUUUUGUAUAUGUUUUAUAACAUUUACCUGUAUUUACCUGUAAUAUUGGCGCAAAUGAAAUAUUGUUUGUGGCGCAAAUGAAAUGCCAAUUGGCGCAAAAGCAAAGCACCGCAAAAUAUAAACGGUAUACUGGGAGUGAUUUUACAGGGUGAUAAGUGAUUGUUGUAAUAAGAGGUCCCGCAUAUACAUAAUAUACAAAAAAUACAUUGCACUUAUUUCUAAUUUAA
rnacentral:lncRNA from 1 species